GGUCUGGAACCUCAGUAUGUGUGGCUGCAGCGCAGGCAGGUAGGGUGUCCCCGGUCUGGAACCUCAGUAUGUGUGGCUGCAGCGCAGGCAGGUAGGGUGUCCCCGGUCUGGAAGCUGGCCGCUUCAGGCGCGUUCCCUCCCUCCUUCCCAUACUCCGCAGGUCUGGAUGUAUUGUCGCCUGUACCGCACUUUCGAGCGCUUCCACCGCGCGCAGCUUCUGGACGCAGCGAAAGCAGGUGGUGAGUUCUUGCUGCGUUACGCCCGAGUGGCACCUCCUAGCAAGAAGUGUGCCUUUGUGCUGACUCGGGACGGCCGCCCGGUCAAGGUGCAGCGGACCAUCUUCAGCGAGUGUUUCUACACCAUGGCCAUGGACGAGCUGUGGAGGACCACAGGGGAAGCACGGUACCAGACGGAAGCGGUGGAGAUGAUGGAUCAGAUUGUCCACUGGGUACGGGAGGACGCGUCAGAACUGGGCCGGCCCCAGCUCCAGGGGGCCCCAGCCGUGGAGCCCAUGGCAGUGCCCAUGAUGCUGCUGAACCUGGUGGAGCAGCUCGGGGAGGCGGACGAGGGGCUGGCGGGCAAAUAUGCGGAGCUGGGGGACUGGUGCGCCCGGAGGAUUCUGCAACACGUGCAGGUGGGGGACCACUGGGGAGCUGGGGUGGCGGGAGGCCCUCCACUCCUCCACUCCCCCACUCCCCCUCUCCCCGGGGUGCCCUGGGGCUUUACACACUGGGAGAGACAGAGAUUAGGGGAGGUCCCCGCCUGGGGAAGGUGGAGGGCCCGAGGGUGGGAGGGAGG
rnacentral:lncRNA from 1 species